rnacentral:rRNA from 1 species
UACGUAGGCAGCAAGCGUUGUUUGGAAUUACUGGGCGUAAAGAGUGUGUAGGCGGUGCUCUAAGUCUGUCGUGAAAUCUCCCGGCUUAACUGGGAGGGUGCGGCGGAAACUGGAAUGCUAGAGGGUGGGAGAGGAAAGCGGAAUUCCUGGUGUAGCGGUGAAAUGCGUAGAUAUCAGGAGGAACACCUGCGGUGUAGACAGCUUUCUGGACCACUUCUGACGCUGAGACACGAAAGCGUGGGUAGCAAACAGG